rnacentral:lncRNA from 1 species
UACCAGACACAAUUCCCAGCUCUCUAACUUUGGACGAACUCUCACUGAUUAGGAUUCAGUACGGGAUUCCUCCAGAGUAUGAGUUGAAGAUUCCCGAACCAACUGGCUGGACUAGCACCCCUCCCCCCGGCUGCUUCUGCCUAUACCAAGAAGCUUUCCGCGUCGGGCUUCGACUUCCACUUUCACCUUUUGUUAUUACUCUUUUUUGCUUCUUAGAUAUUUCUUUAGUUUCUGUAGCGCCGAACUCCUUUAGAUUUUUGAUAGGAUUUCUUUCCCUCUGUAGUUUGGCUAAAGUUCGGCCAAUC